rnacentral:tRNA from 14 species
ACCUCUGAGCUAAGCGGGC